AUGGAUCUGCUUCUUCCAACCAAGCUUUGCGCCAUGGCCGGCAGAGGCUCCACAGGAGGCCCUUAUCUCGCUGCUGUUCGAAAAGCAGAAGCUGCAACCUGCAGAACACAAGGGCUGUUGUGUAUUGCGUCCUCGCCAUGUCUGGACAUCAAGGUUCUUGUCAUCGUCCUGCGUGAGCUGCCAACAACUCAUCCAUCUGACCAACCCAACAUGGUCUGCUUCUUCCAGGACGAGCACCUGAUUGGCGUCGACGUGCGUGCCCGCAAGGUCGUGGGGUGCGAGGUCUAUGAGCUGAUUGAGCGGCCGCCCGAAGACAUCGAUUCCCGCUUCGUUCACACUUGGCCGCUACCACCGCUUGUUAGUGAUUGUAAAUGGUGA
rnacentral:rRNA from 1 species